GUGGGGAAUCUUGCGCAAUGGGCGAAAGCCUGACGCAGCCAUGCCGCGUGAAUGAUGAAGGUCUUAGGAUUGUAAAAUUCUUUCACCGGGGACGAUAAUGACGGUACCCGGAGAAGAAGCCCCGGCUAACUUCGUGCCAGCAGCCGCGGUAAUACGAAGGGGGCUAGCGUUGCUCGGAAUUACUGGGCGUAAAGGGCGCGUAGGCGGACAGUUUAGUCAGAGGUGAAAGCCCAGGGCUCAACCUUGGAAUUGCCUUUGAUACUGGCUGUCUUGAGUACGGGAGAGGUGAGUGGAACUCCGAGUGUAGAGGUGAAAUUCGUAGAUAUUCGGAAGAACACCAGUGGCGAAGGCGACAUACUGGCUCAUUACUGACGCUGAGGCGCGAAAGCGUGGGGAGCAAACAGGAUUAGAUACCCGUGUAGUCC
rnacentral:rRNA from 1 species